GAGCACAUGACCAGAGAGAUGAAGACCUUGAACUCCGAGUGACCCUGGGACCAGAACUCUGGAUUCACUAAACCCCAGCAUCUCUAAGCCAGCAUCCUACCCAGAGAGCUCAUUCUCCAGACCUGACCAGCCAGUCUUCAGCCCCAGUUCCAGCACCAAAAGCACCCCGAUUUUACCCGGCCUGCUGCAUACUUCUAUAGCCUGGCUUUGCUUUUUUUUUUCCUCCCAACAUUAAUGUCCUUGUUUUAUCCUUUGGGUGACCUUCAAAGUCCUGGUGCCCACAGUGAGAUUCUACAUACCAGAAGAUACUAGUUGAGGACAUCAACUUACGUUUGGCUCCAAGGAGGGCAGGGGGUCUCAGAUGGGGAGGCUGACUUCUCUUACCUGAGAUGCUGCCAGCCAGGCCACUCUCCAUCCCUGCAGGCCUCCUACUGCAUCAGUGCUGGUAAAAAUGUGCAGAUGGGAAGGUUACGUGGGCAUAAUUCUCAUGUGCAAAGAGAAACCGGGCCCAAGAGAAGCCUUGGUGUGCUCAGACAUAAAGAUAGCUAAACAGCUGAACUGGAUAAACAUCAAAGUCUCCUAAUCCCCACACUAGAGUUUCAAGGCUGACACCCUCAGCGUGGGUAGAGAGUGUGUGAGGAGCAAGCCACACAGGAACUGGGUACAUCAGGUAAGGAUAGAUAUGGGGGAACCUGUUAAAGAAGACACCUGGAGGUGUCCACGUAGCAGAGCGCUUACCAUGUGCAAGGUCUGGAACUCAACCCCUAGCAUUGUCACCAAACCAAAACAAUGCCUGGAAGGCAGACUUUCUCCCACAUGUCCUAAGUCAGUGGGACACUCUUCCAAUGCCCCAGAAUAAACCCCUGCAGGGCAUCUCAAUGCUGCUGCUGCUGAUGUCACCGCCACUGUUGCCAUCAAUGCCGCCAAGAACAUGCUAGCUCACACUCCCUAGUUCACGAUGUAGCACGCAUCCAUCUUACUUCACAGUCAUCUUUUGAACAUUCCCAACUGCUUCCCUUUAUACCUGGGUACGGCUUCAGGCAGACAGUGUAGAUGCUUGGAUACCCCAGUCUGACCCAAGCCACUCUGCUCAUCCCUACAAUCUCUACCUGUCAUCUCACUCUUGUUUCCUUCUUCUGCUCAAGUGUCAGCUUACCAGAGUAGCUGGCUUACCCUGGAACCUCCGUGGACAAGCUAACUCCCCUCACAGUUCUUUUCACCACCCUCUAUAUUCAGGAGAGUGUGGGGCAGCGUCUUGUGUAGCCCAAGCUAGUCAGCUUAUCAUGUACCCAAGGAAGACCUUCGAUUUGUGACCUCCCACCUCUAUCUCCCUAGUGCUUCGAUCACAGACCUGGGCCUGGCUUUUUUAUGUGGUGCUUGGGCUAGAACUCAAGGCUUCCAGAAUGCUAUUAAUGCACGCCACCAACUGAGCUACAUCCCCCCUCACUCACCUCCAACACUUACUGGUUUGAGCAUUUCCAAACACUCUGUCUGGCUUUGAGCUGUGGCUCACAGACGGGCUCAUGCUCACCACAGAGACAUGACUCUCUCCUAAGGUUGGGGGCCGGCUUCAUCCACUAAUACCACCUUAGCACAAGCAGGGGCUGUGUAUGGAAACUUAAAGCUGACUUCACGAUGGCCCCAGACAGGGGCUUCUUGGUACUUUUGAUUUGGUUAUCUUCAACUAGAAAACCAAUUCUGGGCCCUAGAGACCUGAAUAAAGACUAGCCCUUGGUUUGAUGAUCCCCCAGGCCACCUUCCUGAGUCUGCUUUGGGAAUACUUAUCCAGGCUAGAAACC
rnacentral:lncRNA from 1 species